AGCUGAGAGGUUCAGGGAGGAGCUGAGAUGUUACUGAACUCUAGAAGAUACUCAAACUUCCUCAUUCAACACAGUUCAACACAUAAACAUUAACUCUGCUCAACAUGCUGUCUUUGCUCACAUCUGGAUUUAUUCUGCUGGUUCUGCUCAUUAGAACAGGUGUAAACUGUCAACAUCUCACUGCAAUGAAGACUGAGGAGUCCAGUUUAGAGGGCGGUUCUGUUACUCUGUCCUACAAUUACUCUCAAACUGCUGUUUAUAGUGAUUAUUUCUUCUGGUACCGCCAGUAUCCUGGAAAACCUCCAGAGUUCCUGAUCUCUCACACUGGAACAGGAACCAAACUUCAGGAUCCAGUUCCUGGUUUUUCCUUUAAAGUGAGAGAUGAAAACAUCCAGAUGGACCUGCAGAUCAUCUCUGCUGCAGUGACAGAUUCUGCUGUGUACUACUGUGCUGUGAAGCCCACAGUGACAGGAAACACCAGAACUCUGUACAAGAACCUGCAAUACUCCACAUCAUCCACUAGAGGACCUCACACACUGUUCUACUUCUAUGGUUUUUGAUUCAGUCUGAUUGAGCAGCUGAAAAUAAAGCAGACAUCU